UACGUAGGGGGCAAGCGUUAUCCGGAUUUACUGGGUGUAAAGGGAGCGUAGGUGGUUCGGUAAGUCAGAUGUGAAAGCCCGGGGCUCAACCCCGGGACUGCAUUUGAAACUAUCGAACUAGAGUGCAGGAGAGGUAAGUGGAAUUCCUAGUGUAGAGGUGAAAUGCGUAGAUAUUAGGAGGAACACCGGUGGCGAAGGCGGCUCACUGGACUGUAACUGACGCUGAGGUGCGAAAGCGUGGGGAGCAAACAGG
rnacentral:rRNA from 1 species